rnacentral:rRNA from 1 species
GACGAACGCUGGCGGCGUGCUUAACACAUGCAAGUCGAACGGAAAGGCCCUGUUUUUGUGGGCUGGUCGAGGGGCGAACGGGUGAGUAACACAUGAGUAACCUGCACUUGACUGUGGGGUAACUUCAGGAAAGAUAGGCUAAUACCAUAUAGGAUCUCCCGCUGCAUGGUGGGGGUUGGAAAGUUUCGGCGGUUGGGGAUGGACUCGCAGCUUAUGAGCUUGCUUCUGAGGUGGUGGCUUACCAGGGCAUUGACGCGUAGCCGGCCUGAGAGGGUGAGCGGCCACAUCGGGACUGAGAUACGGCCCAGCCUCCUACGGCAGGCAGAGGUGGGGUGGAUUACACAGUGGGAGGGGGCGAGAUCCAGCAACGCCGCGUCCGGGAUGACGACCUUCGGGUUGGAAACCGAUGUCGCAUGUGCCGGGGAGUGAGUGACGGUAACGGGUAAAGAAGCCCCGGCUAACUACGUG